CUAGUACUCCCUCCGUCCGGAAUUAGUUGACGCUCAAAUGGAUGUAUAUAGCACUGCAAUAUGUCUAGAUACAUCCGUUUGAGCGUCAACUAAUUCCGGACAGAGGAAGUACAUG
rfam:Hordeum vulgare subsp. vulgare, WGS project CAJW01000000 data, contig: morex_contig_57859